rnacentral:rRNA from 1 species
AUGGCGGUGCCGCGGCCGUCGUGGUCGCGGUCGGUCACAGAGACCGUGCGGGGAUCGCACCAGUACACGGUCAAGGGAUUCUCCCUCGCCAAGGGCAUCGGUCCCGGCCGGCACCUCUCCAGUGACACCUUCGCCGUCGGCGGCUACGACUGGGCCGUCUACCUCUACCCGGACGGGAAGAACCACGAGGACAACGCCAGCUACGUCUCCGUGUUUGUCGCCCUCGCCUCCGAGGGUACCGACGUCCGCGCCCUCUUCGAGCUUACCCUCCUCGACCAGUCCGGCCGCGCCCGCCACAAGGUCCACUCCCAUUUCGACCGAUCCAUGCAGGCCGGACCAUACACCCUCAAGUACAGAGGAUCCAUGUGGGGUUACAAGAGAUUCUACAGAAGGACCCAGUUAGAAGCAUCAGAUUUUUUAAAGGAUGAUUGCCUAGUAAUGAACUGCACAGUAGGUGUCGUCAAGAACCGUCUCGAAACACCAAAGAAUAUCCAGAUUAAUGUCCCCCCAUCGGAUAUUGGCCGUUGCUUCAAGGAGCUCUUCGAACUCCACAUUGGCUGUGACAUAACUUUUGAAGUAGGUGAUGAGAAAGUCCAGGCACAUAAAUGGAUUCUUGCCGCUCGCUCCCCGGUGUUCAAAGCCCAAUUCUUUGGACCUAUUGGUAAACCUGACAUGGACAGAGUUGUUGUGGAGGAUGUUGAACCUAUCGUCUUCAAGGCAAUGGUCAAUUUCAUAUAUUCUGAUGAGCUCCCUAGUAUUCAUGAAGUAGCUGGAUCUUUCUCAAUGUGGACAUCUACUGUGGUAACACAACAUCUGUUGGCAGCAGCUGAUAGAUAUGGGUUGGACCGGCUACGAAUCCUAUGUGAGGCAAAGUUAUGUGAUGAACUCACUUCUGAAACAGUAGCGACAACCUUAGCCCUAGCUGAACAGCACCACUGUGCUCAGCUCAAGUCUGCCUGUCUAAAAUUCACUGCCGUUCGACAAAAUCUGGGAGCUGUGAUGGAGACAGAAGGGUUUAAUUACCUGGAGGAGACUUGCCCAUCCUUGCUGUCUGAUUUGUUAGCAACCGUCGCAGUAGUGGAUGAUGAUCCUUCAUCUGUUAACCGGAAAAGGGGAGUUUGUAUCAACGAAGAUGUGAAUCCCGUUGAAAGCGUUGAGGCUAGUGACAGGCGCACCCGCAGGAGGGUUUAG